GUGAGCCCAGGAAGAGAGGACACAUGCCGCCAGCCUCCUCGAUCAGAUAAGUCUUUAUAAACUAUACAGAUUAAUGGUUAUGGUUGAUAAUUAAGACUGGGUUAGCAGAUAGGAUAUCCUAGUCAUUGGCCAGCAACAUUGUAAUUAAUAUAAGACUCUGUGUGUUAUUUCAGGCUCCCACAUGGUGGCGGGGCUCAGGUGGAUGGCGUAACUACUUAUCGUUACAGGACUGUGAAGUAAAAUUAAGAAAGAUGUGAAAGAGAAUUAAGGACUGUGAUUUAUAAGCAAAUAUUUUAUCUAGGGCUGAGACACAUCUUUCAUUGUGAAGGCCUUGGGUUCAAACCCCUCCAGCACCAUGUAAACCAGGCCUGAGGCACACAUCUGUAAUCCCAACACCUGGGAUAUAGACCCGGGAGAAUCAAGAACUCAAGUUAAAGAACUCAACCUGAAGAAUUCCUCUUCAGGUACAUACCAAGUUCUAGGUCAGUCUGGGGUAUAUGAGAACUUACUUCCAAACAGACAAAACUUCCCAACUGAGGGACUUCUGGGGAGAAGCCAGAGUUAGAAUGAAGCUUUGAAAUUAAGACGAGGUUUGAACAGUAACUAAAGACUCUAGGCAAAUGCUUCUCAUUGCUCUGUGCCUUGAGUUUCAUUUUGAUAUUUCAUUCUUACCUUUCCUCUUCUCCUCCUCUGGGUUUUUGUUUGUUUGCUUGUUUUUGUUGUUGUUUUUUUGAGACAGGUUUUUUUCUAUGUAGCCCUGGCUGUCCUAGAACUCACUCUGUAGACCAGGCUGGCCCAGAACUCAGAGAUCUGCCUGCCUCUGCCUCCUGAGAGCUAAGAUUAAAGCCAUGCACCACUGCCCCAGGAUGUUAUUAUUAUUAUUAAUUAUUACUACUUUUUUCUCUGUUUAGGGGUGUUUUUCCUGCACACAUGUCUGUGUCCCAAUUGCAUGCCCUCAGAGGUCAGAAGAGGGUGUCAGACCUCCUAGAACAGACUGUCAUGAACUGCCACGUGGGCACUGGGAAUUGAACUCUGGUUCUCUGGAAUAGAAGCCAAUGCUUCUGACAGCUGAGACAUCCCCCCAGCCCCAUUUGUUUUUAAAAUGGGGUCUUGCUAUGUAACCCUAUGUAGCCUUAAGCUUCUUCCAUUUCUGUCCCACAAAUUCUGGGAUUACAUGUGCGCUACCACUACUGAUUUAAUGUAUAUUUCUAUGUUAGUCAGAAUAGAUAUUCUUAUUUUUGAUCCCUGUUGCCUCACAUCCAUAGAUCCAUGUAAUCUUUUUGAGAGUGGGUUGGACCCUGUGGCUCACUUCUGAUAAAUAGAACGUGGCGGACAUGACAGACAGCAUCACUUUUUUUUAGUAUACGUGAAGCCUAAGUGAACACCGUGCAGCAUCUCUUACAUUAAAUUGUAAUUGCAACCUCUGGCUUGGUUCAUUCUCCUUUCUCCGAGUCCCUGUACUUGGAGAUGAAUGCUUUUGUACUGUGAGCAACUCCACGCAACAUGCGCAGGCUGCGGCGAGGGAUUGCAGGCUGCUGACAGCCAGGCGAGUGAGUUUAGGAGUAGUCUGUCUUCUCCAAUCAAGUCAUGAGAAAACUGUAGCUCCAGGCUAUAGCUUGGCUGUGAUCUCCCAAGAGGCCUUGAGCCAGACAUCUAAUGAAGUGGUUCCCAGAUUCCUGAUUGACAGAAAUUACCAGAUAAUACAUGUUUGACUUUUUUUUUAAGCUCAGAAGAAUUUGUUAUUGAGAAAUGGAGAAGUCAUAGCUGGUUCAGGCCCAUCUCACUGUACCCAAACCCAUCUUGUGGUUAUUUUCCUAGGCCUAGAAUGCAUAAUUAGAAUAUAUACACUCAGCAACUGGCAACAUUCCCACAGUGGUUCCCUGGUGCAUGGAACAAGGGUUAUUGUGAUAAAAACCACAGUGGAUGUUAUAGACCAGCCUCUCUUACAAAAAUGCAUCCUGAAAGCAAUAUUGCAUUCUUGGAGGAAUUGCCUGACUGGUAGCCUUGAAAGACACAGAGGCCAUGAUGCCAAGAGCGACAGUGGACUGUCUUAAACUGAUUCAGGCAGUAACUUCAAUUGUAGGUGUUUACAGAUGUGACUGUGACAAGAUCAUCACACAUCUGGUAUGUAGCUUGUGAUCUGGUACACACACUUUUCUUUUUGCCUAUUAAUGAAGCUCUCAGAAGUUGGCUCUUGCCUAAUGAGGCAGCAAUCUGUCUUCAGUAGGCUAUCUCAGGAGUAAAUAAACUGUCCAUCCCUGCACUAAUGAAGUCCACAGGCCCCUGACUGCCUUUCCCUUCCAUAGGACAUUGCACUGGUCUGACAAUGUGCUUAGUGGACAUGGUAAUCAGUAAGUUCUAGGCACGGUUUAUUUGUGUGUGGAGAGUGGGAGAUGAACUCCACUGAAGAGAAAGUCAUUUAGGGGUCCAAUUAUCUGAGAUAUGAAGAUAUUUCUCUUCUCUGGUGACACUUAUGUUGUUGGAUCAAGGUCUUCCCACAGUGCCUCCUGGGGCUCUUGGGUUUUUGGUGGGGAUAUAUUUCUCAUUUGGAUAUGCUGCUUUGGCUCUGUUGCUUACUGGCUAGAAGGUGCCUAUUUUGAGUAAUUCUCAGAAUGAGCUUCAUCUCUAGAACAGGUAGAGCUGCUGUGCAAACUGUUCUGCUAAUUGGGUCAUGUGACUCAUCACAUACAAUGGUCUUGCAAUUCUAAGGAUACUUUAGGAGCGUUUGGCAGCCUGCUUUGCUGAAUCACAGCACGGAUCCUUGGAAAUUUUUAGUUAAGCGAUGCUACCCUCUGAGAAUAACAGUUCCCCUUCAGGGAACCACCAAUGGCCUGCUACCAGGCCUGAGACUGAACACUUGGCCGGAAGCUGCCACAUUACUGUGUGAAAGCGCUGCCCCGGGUGUAUGGGCAUUGUUGGACCUACCAAGUCUGAAAGUUGCCAGUGGCUUUAUCAAAUCGUGUGAAAGCUUUGAGAUUAGAUAGGGUUGGGUCCUGAAGACCAAGUUGCAUGAGGACUCAGAAGCAGCUUGGGUGUGAACACCCCUCACUCAUGCUACCCUUAGCGUCAGUCUACGACUUCAGCCUAUGACUGAGGAAGAAAAUGCUUGAGGCCUAUUUACAGUCAUCCUUCCUGAUUUGUAGGUGUCACCUGAAAGAGGAUAGCUACAGACCACCUUGGGGAAGGCAACAGGCCAGGCUAGGGAAGGGAAGCUUUCCAUUGGACUAGACUUUGAACAGAGUGUGUGGUAAUUCUUUUUUCCUGAAAUGCUAGAUGGCCAGAUGUUUGGGCCCACAUCAAUUCAUUGCCUAUAGUUAAUGGUUUGAUUAGACAUUCAGGGACUUGACAGGCACACAGUUGGAAAGUUGGUUUGUGAGGAAGCAGUAUUUGCACAGACCUCAGAUUGUGGUGGUAUUUGUGUCUCAUGUAAAAGACUAGCAAAGGGAGGUCCAGACAGUGCACAACAUCGAUAGAUGAAAUGAAGGAUUCUGUGGAAUUGCAGCCAUCCUUUCCCAAUGGGCUAAUGAGCAGAUAGCUGGGGAUGGAGUCAAGGAUGGAGGUUAUAUGGGCCUGGUGCCCAUAUUCCCAGCACUUGGGAUGCUGAGGCAGGAGGUUAGAGAGUUUGAGACCAUCCUGGGCUACAUAUAUAUUUCUCAAAUAUACCAUAUGUACAUAUAUUUGGAUUGACAUUUCAUUUUUUUGCAUUUAUAUAUUGUGUAUGUGUGUCUAUGUGUAUAGGUCAAAAAACAACUUGCAGCAGUUGGCUUUCUACUUCUACCUUAUGGGAUCUGGGGAUUGAGUUUAUGCUGUCAGGCUUGGCAGCAAGGACCUUUACCUUCUGAGCCAAUUUGCUGGCUUAGUUUGAUAAUUUUUAAUAAAUAUGCUCCCUGAUGCUCCCUUUUAAUUUAUAAACGAUGACUCUAUUUGAGGACUGGAGGUAGUUUAGCGAUUGAGAGCACUUACUGUUCUGCCCAAAGACCAGAGUCUGGUUUCCAGCACCCAUGCUGGAUGGUUGACAAAUGCCUGUAACUCCAGCUCCAGGGAAUCUGAUGCCCUCUUCUGGCCACACACAGACACACAUACACACAUGCACUUGUAUAAGUAAACACACAUGUGUAUACCCAAAUACAAAUAUAAUCAAUCUUUAAAGUUUGUUCCUUAUAGCCGGACGGUGGUGGCACAUGCCUUUAAUCCCAGCACUCAGGAGGCAAAAGCAGGCAGAUCUCUAUGAGUUCGAGGCCAGCCUGCUCUACAAGAGCUAGUUCUAGGACAGCCUCCAAAAGCCACAGAGAAACCCUGUCUCGAAAACAAAACACAACAACAAAAUUGUUCGUUGUGAUUAAUAUAUAAUCAGUUAUAAUAGCUCUUUCCGUAUUUCAGGGCAAUGUAGAUAUAAUCCCUGUUGAGUAUAGAGUUAGGUAUAAUAUUUUAUUAUUAUAUAUUCCCUCUAUACUUAAUUUUGUUAGUUUGAUCUAGUUUAGAGUAAAGGUGUGUUAACUUUUAUGAUAAUAGCUCUGAUGAUCCAUCCUCAUAAAAAUUACUGGCAAUAUUUUUGCUUUAUGCAUUUUUGAAAGUGUAUUGUUAGGUGCAUAAAAGUUCACAACUGGUAUAGCUUCUUGGUAGGCUGAACUUUUACGACAAUGAAACCAUUUUAUGCCUUUUAAUUUUAUCAUAUGCCAUAUUAUGAUAAAUGGCCAUUAACUCUGGCCAUUUCUGUUAACGAUUGAGCUAACAUGUAAAAUACUUGGUUUCGUGACCGACAAUACAAGCAACAAAGAGUAGCCUCUGUAGUUAUCUUUGUCAUUGUCAUCAUGAUUGCUCUGGGUGUCAUAGCGUGCAGUUUUUCUGGUGUCUCUGAGAGACAAAGAAACAAAAGAAAAAAAAAAACUGAAGAUCUUCAGGUCACCGAAGUGGGGCAGGGGGCGUAGCUCAGAGACCAAGGGCUCUCUUGGUAUGCUCAGGUCCUGGGUUUGGCCCUCAUACUGAAAGGACAAGCGACCUCUCCGACCUUGCACAAUGUUGCUUAGAUUCUUUUUUUUUUUCAAACAAGGUGAUGGAAACUCCAGGAAAAAGAGGCCCCAGACUUGGACAAAUUGACAGAGAGCCUGCCAAAAGAAGUCUCCUAGGCAGCCAAGAUAAUACAACAGAAACAGAUUUCUUAUUGGAUUUUAGCCUUUGUGUUUUGGAGGCCCAGCUGAAAUGAGGAAGGGAAGAAAAAGCAAAGCAAGGUAUGUGGAAUAUCAAGGACCUGUGAUGUAGUACAAAGCCAGUCUGGUAUGUCAGGAAUACAUGGUGAGACCCUGUGUCGGAAAAAAAAGAAAAGAAAAGUCAUGGGCCUGGAGACGACUCAGUGGUCAAGCAACUGGCUGCUCUUGCAGAGGACCUGGGUUCGGUUUCCAGCACCCAUAUGGGGGCUCACAACCAUCUGUAACUCCAGUUUCAGUGUACUGACAACUUCUGGCCUCUGAGGACACCAGGCAUACACAAGGUACACAGGCAUAAAUGAAGGAAAAUAAAUAAUAAAUAAAUAAAUCUUAAAAAGAAAACAAGUUCUGGAUGAUGAGAACCCUAGACAGCAAAGACAGCAUGUCAAAGGGGAAAGGGAUACCCAGAGAGCACCAUAUCUCCAGGUCAAAGGGAUGUUGAUUGCAGAGGAAGCUGCAAAUAGAAUUACUGUUUUAAUUAGGGUAAUUAAAAUCUGCUUUCAUAAGACUCAGGAGGAUUAAGUGAGAUAACACACAUUUUUUUAAUUUUUAAAUAUUUAUUUAUUUAUUUAUUUAUUUAUUUGGUAUUUCAUAGAUGUUUGUCAAUUUUGUAUGGUCUCUUUGGCAG
rnacentral:lncRNA from 1 species